GCUGGCGCAGCCACCGCCUACACCCGUGACUCCCUUGCCUUAUCUUUUUGUCCGCCUACACCCGUGAGCUCCAGCAAUCAAUCCCCAUCCACACGAACGCAUGCUCCUCUCCCAAAUCCCAUUUUUCUCUGCUGAUCUCCAAUGCAACUAAAUCCCCCACUCCUCUGGCUGCAAGCACAUCGAUCUGAAGGAAGGGGGCACAGGGUUGCUGCUACGGUAGUCGGGGCGAGCAGGCGACCAUGAAGAUUGUGGAGACGGUGGCUAGCGAGCUGCAACAACUAGCCGGCGAGGUUGGUGGUGGUCGGCGACGGCUAGCCGCCAUGUUUUUUUUUUUUUUGCUACCAUCGGUUGGUGUGGAUGCUACAACCGUUGCGGGGCGAGCUGCAACCGGCAACGGCGCUGACAAGCUAUCGCCGGCAACGGCACUGACGAGCUAGCACCGGCUGGUGUGGAUGCUGCAACCGUUGCGGGGCGAGCUGCAACCGGCAACGGAGUUGUCACUACCUGUACCGGCAAGCACAACGGUGGAGCACACUAUACGCUACAACCGUUGAGGCAGAAGCUGCAACCACGCCCGGUUUUUGCUGGAACCGGUGAUCGCGGCGAGCUGCAAGGUGACCACGGCGAGUUUGUCCAUAUGGGCGGGGGAGUGCUGCAACCACGACCAGGUUUGUUGGAACCGACGAGCUGGGGCAGCGACACAAAGCUGCUUUUUGUCAACGGCGAGCAUCGGCGGCGAGCACGGCGGUGGCUGUCGACAACGACAAACAGGGGAGGGCGGGACGCGCGCUGUGCGACACAAUGAUGAUGGGCGGCCGUCAUGUCGUGCGGUGUCUUUUUCAGAUCUGAACGCGAACAGGAUGAGAAGGAAGCAGACGAUGAGUGGAUGAGGAUCCAACGGUUGGGGGUGAGCCAAUCGGGCGGUUGGGGCGUGACCGGCCGAAACUUUGGGCCGGCGCGCCGGCGCCUAUCAGUCGCCUUUUUUUAAUGAUUUUAUAUAUCUGAUA